rnacentral:rRNA from 1 species
AACGAACGCUGGCGGCAGGCCUAACACAUGCAAGUCGAGCGCGCCCUUCGGGGUGAGCGGCGGACGGGUGAGUAACGCGUGGGAACGUGCCCUUUGCUACGGAAUAGCCCCGGGAAACUGGGAGUAAUACCGUAUGUGCCCUUCGGGGGAAAGAUUUAUCGGCAAAGGAUCGGCCCGCGUUGGAUUAGGUAGUUGGUGGGGUAAUGGCCUACCAAGCCGACGAUCCAUAGCUGGUUUGAGAGGAUGAUCAGCCACACUGGGACUGAGACACGGCCCAGACUCCUACGGGAGGCAGCAGUGGGGAAUCUUAGACAAUGGGCGCAAGCCUGAUCUAGCCAUGCCGCGUGAUCGAUGAAGGCCUUAGGGUUGUAAAGCUCUUUUACCAGGGAUGAUAAUGACAGUACCUGGAGAAUAAGCUCCGGCUAACUCCGUGCCAGCAGCCGCCGUAACAC